rnacentral:rRNA from 1 species
AAACUGGGUCCCUUGAGGGCAGGAGAGGGCAGUAGAAUUCCUGGUGUAGCGGUGAAAUGCGUAGAAAUCAGGAGGAAUACCAGUGGCGAAGGCGACUGCCUGGACUGACCCUGACGCUGAGGUGCGAAAGCGUGGGUAGCAAACAGGAUUAGAUACCCUGGUAGUCCACGCCGUAAACGAUGGAUACUAGGUGUGGGAGGUAUCGACCCCUUCCGUGCCGCAGCUAACGCAAUAAGUAUCCCGCCUGGGGAGUACGGUCGCAAG